GAGACCACCUGCAUAGUUGUGAUGGUUGUGUUUUCAAGGAAAGAACACCAUAGGAAGCUGAAAUUUUAUUGAAUAAUAUGUUGACUAAUGAAAAUAAUUGGACAUUUCCUGAUCCAAUUCCUGAUCCAAUUCCUGAACCAACUCCUAAGCCAACUCCGAAGAAAAAGGGUAUUCUAUUUCUCAGUCCUGAAGAUAUGCAAGAGGCAAAGAAAUCGAUGAAGGAAAAAGGUAUUAAAGCUAAAGAUGUUAAGAAUUUACCGCCUGUUGAAGAAAUAGAUUGUUUUAAUUCAUUACCUAUUGAAGAAACAUAUGGUCUUGAUAACCCGACACAUUCAAAUUUCUGCCCUAUCAACUUUCGAUGGUACGAUAGGGGCCUACCAUGGUGGUGACGAGUGACAAAGAAUUAGGGUUCGAUUCCGGAGAGGGAGCCUGAGAAAUGGCUACCACAUCCAAGGAAGGUUGCAGGCGCGCAAAUUACCCAAUCAUGACAUGUAGUAAAGGUA
rnacentral:ncRNA from 1 species